UACGGAAGGCAGCAGGUGGGGAAUAUUGCACAAUGGGCGAAAGCCUGAUGCAGCUAGUGCCGCGUGUAUGAAGAAGGCCUUAGGGUUGUAAAGUACUUUCAUCGGGGAGGAAAAAACAAAACUAAUAAUUUUAUUUCUUGACGUUACCCGAAAAAGAAGCACCGGCUAACUCCGUGCCAGCAGCCGCGGUAAUACGGAGGGUGCUAGCGUUAAUCAGAAUUACUGGGCGUAAAGAGCACGUAGGUGGUUUUUUUAAGUCAGAUGUGAAAUCCCUGGGCUUAACCUAGGAACUGCAUUUUGAAACUGAAAUACUAGAGUAUCGUAGAGGGAGGUAGAAUUCUAGGUGUAGCGGUGAAAUGCGUAGAUAUCUGGAGGAAUACCUGUGGCGAAAGCGGCCUCCUAAACGAAUACUGACACUGAGGUGCGAAAGCGUGGGGAGCAAACAGGGAUUAGAUACC
rnacentral:rRNA from 1 species